GUGCCAGCCGCCGCGGUAAGACGAACCGUGCGAACGUUAUUCGGAAUCAUUGGGCUUAAAGGGCGCGUAGGCGGCGGCGUAAGUUGGAAGUGAAAUCCCAUCGGCUCAACCGUGGAAUUGCUCCCAGUACUGCGUCGCUCGAGGGGGAUAGGGGUCUGCGGAACUACCGGUGGAGCGGUGAAAUGUGUUGAUAUCGGUGGGAACGCCAGUGGCGAAAGCGGCAGACUGGACCCUUCCUGACGCUGAUGCGCGAAAGCUAGGGGAGCAAACGGGAUUAGAUACCCGAGUAGUCC
rnacentral:rRNA from 1 species